GAGUUUGAUCCUGGCUCAGAUUGCUUGCUAGCGGGAUGCCUUACACAUGCAAGUCGAACGGCAGCACGGACUUCGGUCUGGUGGCGAGUGGCGAACGGGUGAGUAAUGUAUCGGAACGUGCCUAGUAGCGGGGGAUAACUACGCGAAAGCGUAGCUAAUACCGCAUACGCCCUACGGGGGAAAGCAGGGGAUCGCAAGACCUUGCACUAUUAGAGCGGCCGAUAUCGGAUUAGCUAGUUGGUGGGGUAACGGCUCACCAAGGCGACGAUCCGUAGCUGGUUUGAGAGGACGACCAGCCACACUGGGACUGAGACACGGCCCAUACUCCUACGGGAGGCAGCAGUGGGGAAUUUUGGACAAUGGGGGAAACCCUAAUCCAGCCAUCCCGCGUGUGCGAUGAAGGCCUUCGGGUUGUAAAGCACUUUUGGCAGGAAAGAAACGUCAUGGGCUAAUACCCCGUGAAACUGACGGUACCUGCAGAAUAAGCACCGGCUAACUACGUGC
rnacentral:rRNA from 1 species